GCGGACGUAGUGCACGGCGCACCGCUGCCAUGCAUGGUUGUAAAGCUUUAUUAUGUGAAGCAGCCAGACGGGGUUCGACUCCCCGCGUCCGCA